ensembl:lncRNA
GCGGCGUUAGUGUCAAUCAAAAUAAAUAUUUGAUCGUAUUUGAAAGCGCUGCAGUUUGUUGAAAUCGGUUUGAAUAAUUAAGCAAUGGUCUGACUGUGAGCGGCGAACUAGGUCCCUGUGCCUUUAAGAACACUCGGUCUAGGGUGGCGCUUUCCUCCGCAAGGGCUUCUUGAUAUUAAUAGUGUUGGUGUCUUGAAACUGACGUAAUGCUUGGAGUCUGAGGUCCUGACAAGCGAUAACAUUUCUGAUAAAGAACUGAGAUCACUGCAAACUAACCUCCUUUUUUCCAUCCAGUCUCAGGCGUUUUUAAUAUCAAACACAGUCACCCCGAUUCCACUUGCACAGGAGAAAUUCGAAAUCUUAGAUCCCCCCUAACAACAACAAAAAAAGAAAUAAUACCCCGAGAUCAACAAACAAACAACACAAAGACGGUUCAUGGCUUACGCCAAAGCUCCACCAUCUUUCAGACUGCAAAGACUAUUGCAAUUUAAUCAACAGGUAAGGAGAAAGCGAAUCAAUGAACAUUACGAGGAUGGCAGACAACAAUGAGAUGUGAAUUUGCAGUAGUUCCUGAAUGCUGAAUCGCUUUUUAGAAGCGAAUGUUAUGUAAUGUUGAAAGAGCUAAGGGAUUUCGUGAAUCAGUUGUGAGCUACUUUGCUGUGAAAAAAGAGCAGGGCUUCUCGGAUUUCACAUGGCAUUUAGGUUUUGUUGGGUCAAACGCAUGAGAAAUUGAAAUUGGCUACUUGCUACAAGCAGUAGCCCCAGAGUGGUCACGUUCACAGACAAGGAAGAAAAACAUGAGUUCCAAUAGGUUUGUGGCUUACUUUUUCCUUCCCAUUUCUUGAAAUCCUUUUAUUUCAUUCUGUUGAAAUGCAGUCGCGUUGAGGUGUUGUAAAUUCGAACGUAUGGUGUAGUCUAUGUGGAAGCUAUAGCAUUUGAAGUCUGUGCUAACGCGGUCCUAUUUCAGAUGUGACAAGAUGUGGAGUCUUCUUUGCCGCAGCGCGUGUAUUUAUUUUCAUUGUUUGUGAGAAAGCGCAUGAAACAAAAACAACAUUUCGUUUGAAAAGGUAUUACAAGUACAUAUAUACUACUACUGGUGAAUCUGCUUCGAUCCAUGGUCUUUGGGAAUACCUGGGAAUUUGUCAUCUUGUGAAGUAGUGCACUCACUGUAAGUAUUUUUGUGGUCGCUUCCUAACUUCUGAGGAAACUUUCCCUUUUCUCCUUUGAAGACGACUUGCAAAUGACUGAUGUAAUUUUAAUCCAUGUAUACUUCGAAGUUGAUUUAUGAUUAUGCAUUCACCUUUCCACUGAACUAGAACUACGGGAGGAAACUUUUCCUCUCUCCCUCCAGUAAGAGAAAAAGGUUUCGCAAAUAUAUUCUCCUUGCCCUGUUAACAGAAACUACCAAAGACAUUUUACUCAGUCUGAUAAAGGAAAACCUAACUCUAUAAAAGAUUGAGAUGAAACAGAUGCCACUGUAUGAUUAAAUAUAGGGUCA